AACGACCCAGUCCUCUCAAAAGUUGGCAUGAAGAAUGGUUUUAUAGUAGCUCAAAGUCUGUUAGAAAAUUUCCUCCAAAUUCAGGUUGCUUAAAGGAAGGGAAGAAUUAGAGAAUGCAUUAUUCAUGAUCAUUGAUUAGCUUGGAAUUUCGGCUUGGAUUAGGCUAUGAAGCACAUUGGCCGGCUUGGAAUUACGAUAGAACUUAAAGCGGAUCAAAUGGGGCUGUUUUGGAAUUGAUUGGAUCAGUUUUAGACUUUUAAAUCAUAGACUAUUGAAGUGUAGAUUAUGUGUAGAUUCAAAUUGUAUUUAAAUCGGACAUAGGUGUAACUGUAUGUAUGUAAAUGGAAUUUGGAAUUGCAUCCAUGUAAUUGGGAGUUUGGAAAUUUAAUGUUUACGUAUGGAACAUGGAUGUUAAUGGUUGAA